GUGACAGUGACCUUGUCUUGGGCACAGAGUCAGAAGAAACAAAAUGAUGUGGGGGGGGGGCCUGGGGAAGGCCAGGGGAAGCCGUGGGGGCAGCGUCACCUCUGGCCAGAUGGGCCUGUGUGUUCAGCCCUUCAGGCCUACAGCAAAGCAUUUCAAAAGCCCCUACUGUGUGCCAGCCACAGUGUGAUGCGAGGCAGGAGCAGAGAGGAUUAACUUGGGGUCAGGACCUCAGCGGAGGCAGAGAGGGCGACGCUGUUCUAACCAGGGCAUCAGAGAGAGCUAGCAUCUGCUGAGGUCCCCUCGGCUGGAUGCCCUACGCAUUUUACACACAUUGUCUCAUUUAUCUCUAGGGUUGGUUUGAACAAAGAAGUGCUUUGAGAGUUCAGAUGUGGAGCCAGGAACCCUGCCUGCCAUGGGAUGCAGGGAGAGGGGGUGGCGAGCAGCCCACAGCGACCCCAAGAAGCUGCUCCAACCCCUGGGACUAUGGAGCUCUACAGCUGUAGAGACCACCAGGAAGUGGACUGCAGGCCCCUGGCCUCUCCAUUCAGAUUCUGCAAAGAGAUCCUGAUGGGUUGGGCCAAUGGGUCAGGCAUCCAGUCAGCUCUGGCUAAGGGGUGAAGGAGUCAGGUGUUACCAACGUGGUGGCAGGGGCCACCUUGAAGCUGUGUUCUGUGCCAUGGAAGAAGGAAGAGGAGGAGGAAGCUAAGCUGGAAGGGAAGGUGAGUGGGAGUUCGAUGAGAGUGGCAGUUGUCUAUUUUGUUCACCGAUGUAUCUUAGGUGACUAAAACAAUGGUUGUCACAUGGCUGGCCCUUCAUAUUUGUUUCCAGAUGGAAGACUCUCUUUCUAGUGGUGGAACAUUAGUUUUGCACUGUGUUGGGACAACCUGAUGUAGUGAAAACAAGCCUGGGCAAUGAAAUCAACAGAUUGGAGUUCAGUUCCUAAUUGGGUCAUGGAUGAACUUUGUGACCUUGGGCAAGUGAGUUCACCUCUCUGAGUUGAAUAGGUUCCCUCCUUUCUAGAACAAGUAUGAGUCUGCAUCAGAGAGUGGUUGCGAGGGCUACACAUGAUGGAGGAUGAGGACUGGCACAUCAGAAGUACUGAAUGAAGAAUUGUAACAUAAAAAUGACAACAGUAAUAUAUUUUUGUGGUUUCAGCACUCUUCAAAUGAAACCACCUGGCCAACAGGAUUUUAGUGUACCUGCUUAUAACAUUAGCCUUCGUUUCCACCAAAAAGGGUGUUAAAAAAGGAAGCUUGGAACAUGAAAGUAAGACACUUGGAUGAAGAGAUUUAUGACUCUGGGGGGCUGUGAAUUCCUAAUGUCCUUUUGAGACAUGUAGAUCUUCCAGAGCGAUGCUGCCCAAUGCAGUAGCCACUAGCCAAGUGCAAAUGGUCACUUGCAAUAUGGCUAGUCUUUGAGAUGUGUUUUAAGUGUAAAAUACACACUGAAUUUUAAAGACUUAGCGCAAUACAAAGAAUGUAAAAUAUCUCAUUAUAUCUUGAAAUUAUACUAUUUUGGAUAUAUGGUGUUCCCUUGGUGUCUUUGGGGACUGGUUCCAGGAUCCUAGAGGAUACCCAAAUCCCCAGAUGUCAAGUCCGCUAUAUAAAAUGUCCUGUAGUAUUUGCAUAUAACCUACACACAUCCUUCUGAAUACUUUAAAUCAUCUCUAGAUUCCUUGUAAUUCCUAAUACAAUGUAAAUGUUAUGUAAAUAGUUGUUAUACUAUAUUAAAAAGUUUUUUAUUCUUUAUUUUUGCUGUAUUAUUCUUUUUGCAUAUUUUCAGUCCACAGAUGGUUGAUGCCACAGAUGUGGAACCUGUGAAUAAGGAGGGCUGACUGUAUUGAGU
rnacentral:lncRNA from 10 species